UUCCAGACUCCUACGGGAGGCAGCAGUGGGGAAUAUUGCACAAUGGGGGAAACCCUGAUGCAGCGACGCCGCGUGAGCGAUGAAGUAUUUCGGUAUGUAAAGCUCUAUCAGCAGGGAAGAAAAUGACGGUACCUGACUAAGAAGCCCCGGCUAACUACGUGCCAGCAGCCGCGGUAAUACGUAGGGGGCAAGCGUUAUCCGGAUUUACUGGGUGUAAAGGGAGCGUAGACGGCUGUGCAAGCCAGAUGUGAAAGCCCGGGGCUCAACCCCGGGACUGCAUUUGGAACUGUGUGGCUGGAGUGUCGGAGAGGCAGGCGGAAUUCCUAGUGUAGCGGUGAAAUGCGUAGAUAUUAGGAGGAACACCAGUGGCGAAGGCGGCCUGCUGGACGAUGACUGACGUUGAGGCUCGAAAGCGUGGGGAGCAAACAGGAUUAGAUACCCCCGUAU
rnacentral:rRNA from 1 species